UCUCAUCUUUACUCUAAAAAUCCUAAAAUCUUUAAAAUCUCUCUUCUCUAUCUCCAAGCGCCGCCACCCCUUGCCACACAUUUUCUCUCUCUUCUUAAUUCACCCAUAAACCCUAGAAUCUAUCAUAUCUAUCUUCCAUAUCUUCCAUCUUCAGCAGCCACUUCCUCCAUUUUUUCUUUCUUUUUAAUUUUUUAAUUUUUUAUGUUCAAAUCUCUCAGAUCUAUUUCCUUCUUGCUUUAAUCUGUCUCGCUCUUGCUCUAGACAAGCGUAGGGAAAAUAGAAGUUGUAAGAGUAGAUUUGAAGACGAGCGCCGAGAAAGUUGCAGUUUCGCUCUCGAUCUCGCUCUCGUUUUCACUCUCGCUCUCGAUCUCUUUCUCGUUUUCGGUCUCCAUCCAACAGGAGGACAAUCAUAGAUGGCAAAAAAGAAAAAAAGAAAAAAAAGAAGAAGAAUGGGCGGCUGAGGAAGAUGAGGAGAGAGAGAUAUAAGUUUUAGGGUAUUGUUAGUGAAUAAAGAAGAGAGAGAAAGUGAGUUUUGAGUUUUUCUAAUGAGUAAAGAAGAGAGAGAAAGAAGGUUUUAAGUUUUUUCAUGUAUGUAUUUAUUGUGUAUUCUAAAUAAAGAAGAGAGAAAGAUGAGAUUUUGAGAGAGAGUCUGGUAUAAGGAAAAGAUAGAGGGACUCAAUAAAAAAACUAAAAAGAAAUUAUUUUUAGA